GCGCUCCCUCGGCCCCAGCGCCCGGACCCGGGGGGCGGCCCGCGCGCCCCGCGCCCACGGGGGCCCCGCCUCCGGGCGGGCCGGCUGCUGGGGGGGCGCACCCCGACUUCCCCGGGGUCACAUGGGCUGCGGGGGGCGGGAGCGCCGGGAAAGGGGGAGGCGCGGGGAGCUCGCUGCCUGCCUGCCUGCUCGCUCGAGCCGGGGACGAGACGCCCCCCACCCCUCCAGCUCGGCCUCUCCAUCCAAGUUCCCGGUCCCCGGCCGCCCGGAUCCGGGGAUGGCAACCGCCGCCCGCCCGCCUCUGCGCCCUUUUUUCCAGCCGCCGCGCAGAAAUUUAGGUCAAGGACGUCGGGAUCAAACCCAAACCCUGGCGCUCCUUGGGCGCUCCCGGAGACCCCCAGAACGGGGGGCGGGGGGCUUUCAGGAUGGUGCGGACACCCUCCGCACAAACCCCAGCCACAAGUUUUAUUUUCCUUUCGCGCUGGAAGUUCUGUCUGGCUCUCGAUCCACACCGGCACGUCUUGCGCGGCUCCCCGCCCUUCCCCGGCAGAGGUACGAAUCCGUGCCCGGGGAAGGUUAUUUUGGAACUUUGAGGAAACGGACGCGAUUCCAGUGGAACUUUUGUAUCCACGUCCAUAAGUCAAUCAGGCUGCAGUUUUGCCUUCUCAUGUUGCCUUUCUCUGGUUAUACUGGCCUCAAAAAAUGAACUGGUAAGUUUCCUAUAAACAGCAUACAAUUGGACCUUGUUCCUUUAUUUAUUGGGUUGACUGGUAUAUCCAUGGCCUUAUUUCAUUUUUUCCUAUGAUGAACACUUAUAAACCUGCUAUUCAACCAGAGACUAAAACAGCAACGGUGACUGACAACUCCUUGUGCGUUCCUCCCCCGUUUGCUCACCUAAAGAAACUGCCAGUCUCAAUCUUGUCGCUGAGCUGAUUAAGAAGAAAGCUGACUCCUACCUUCCAAUCUUGUGUCCAUUUCAUCUGCUUCCAAACAUAAAGCCGCCCGCUGCUUUUGCAAGAUCUUGGCUGGUUUAAAAAGGCAGAUUCGGGAUUUGUGUGCAGGAUUUCAGGAAUGUGGGGUCUUCUGGUUUGUUUUGUGUGUGGAUGGCACAGCAGAAGGGAAACAAAGCAUUCUGCUGCCUCGCAUGGAGGUUCUUCUAGUAGCCAGGCGACCUUGAGCGGAAAAGCCACCCUCAGUCUCCAGUACCCCAUCUGUAAACUGUGGGUCACUAUGGUUUUAAAGUAUCUUGGUCCUCCUGCAAGAGGUGGAGCCUGAUCUUCCCACCCCCACCCCGGGUCCCCCAGCGUGGGCUGUACUUAGUCACUGGGUUCUGAUGAAUAGAAUGUGGAGGAAAUGAUGGUGGAUGAACUCCAAGGCUGGAUCAGUAAAGGCACCUGGCUCCCGCCUGGCUCCAUCUCUCAGGUCACUCUAGGGAAAGCCAGCUUUCAUGCCGUCAAGAUGCUCAAAGAGCCUGAUAGACAGCCCCACGUGGAGAAGACUUGCAGUUUCCUGUCGGCAACCUGAACUAGCCUGCCAGAAUUGUGAGACCACCUUAAAGCAGCAUCUGCCAGCCCCACCCCAGCCUUCAGAUGAUAGCUGCCCCAGCUCACACUCAACAGGAACUUCCCUAGAAACCUGGAGCCAGAACUUUCCAGCUAAGCCACACCCAAUUCCUGCCCCUCAGAGACAUUUAAUACUUGUUUGAAACUACUAAGUUUUGGACUAGUCUGUUA
ensembl:lncRNA